CCAGAGAUGGAUUUGUGCCUUCGGGAACUGUGAGACAGGUGCUGCAUGGCUGUCGUCAGCUCGUGUUGUGAAAUGUUGGGUUAAGUCCCGCAACGAGCGCAACCCUUAUCCUUUGUUGCCAGCGGUUCGGCCGGGAACUCAAAGGAGACUGCCAGUGAUAAACUGGAGGAAGGUGGGGAUGACGUCAAGUCAUCAUGGCCCUUACGACCAGGGCUACACACGUGCUACAAUGGCGCAUACAAAGAGAAGCGACC
rnacentral:rRNA from 1 species